UACAUAGGGUCCGAGCGUUGUCCGGAAUUAUUGGGCGUAAAGGGCUCGUAGGCGGUUUGUCGCGUCGGGAGUGAAAACACCGGGCUUAACUCGGUGCUUGCUUUCGAUACGGGCAGACUAGAGGCAUUCAGGGGAGAACGGAAUUCCUGGUGUAGCGGUGAAAUGCGCAGAUAUCAGGAGGAACACCGGUGGCGAAGGCGGUUCUCUGGGCAUUACCUGACGCUGAGGAGCGAAAGUGUGGGGAGCGAACAGG
rnacentral:rRNA from 1 species